AGAUGUUAUGCCAGGAACAAAUACGAGUAUGAAACCAGGUACUGUGCAGUUAUAUUUCCAUACUAACAAGUAUUUAGCUACAGCAAAUUUUAUGUCUGGAAUCAGGCGUUGUAAUCACGCGGGAAUAUUAAGUCACGCUAGGAAAUCAUGCGAGUUUGGGUGGCAAAAAUAAUAGACAGCACAAAGAAACACUGUGUGAACCUGGCAGACAAUCGCCGAAAUUUUAACGUAAAAUUAUGUGUUGUGAUGUCCCUUGCAAGAGUUGAAUACAAUUUGUACAAUUAAAAUAUCAGUAUUAAACUUGCAAAACAUUCAACUUGAAAAACAUAGUUGUUCCAGACAGACGAAAAAAACACACUGCAGUAUCAUCAUACAAAGACAACUCCACACCAGAGAUCUUCGAACUUAUCGUAUAGCCUACGUGCAUACACAAAUUGGGUUCUGAACUUUAUAUAGAUGAUGAAUGGGACGUGCUACAUAGAAUAAAACUGAGAAUAUACUCACAGACAGACAUGCACACAUUAACAUACAACAAGCGCCAAGUCUUGAUUCGAAGAUAAGAUAAUCUGGAGAUCUUACUAUAUAUGGCACAGACAGCCAGGAAGAAAAAAAUAAAGACGAGCAGCGAAAAAUAUGAUUUUCUACGAAACAUUGGGCCAUUGGGGAGGGGGGGGGGGAGGGGUUGGAUAAAUUAUGAUGGCCUGUUUUCAUUCCUUUUUUAUUUUGAGUAAAUAAAUGAAGACAAUGGUGGAGAAUUUCGUACCUGCUAUAAAAUAGAAUGAUGUUUUUUUUCCAGAGCGUUAUUGCUAUGAGAUUGUGGUAAUGGUAAUGGUUUAUUAACACAUUUAGUAGUAGUUACGCUAAUUUACAAUGUACGCUAAUUUACAAUGUUUACAAACUUUAAAUAUAUACAAAAUGUUUUCUUUUUUCUAAUGGCCCGGCCCUGUCCCACUAUUGCGUUUGAGAGAAACGCAUGAGUAGUGUAUAAAUCAUAUGUAACUAUGGUUUAAUAUGCGCUAUAUGCCUCUCCGUAUCCAUGGCCAUGCGUAUGCCACCGUAUACAACUUAUGCCUAACGUACCCGUCGCGUAUACCAGCGUAUGAUUGAUAUUUUCCAUAUACGCUAGUACGAUACGCAAACCGUUG